UACGUAGGUGGCAAGCGUUGUCCGGAAUUAUUGGGCGUAAAGCGCUCGCAGGCGGUCUUUUAAGUCUGAUGUGAAAUCUUGCGGCUUAACCGUAAGCGGUCAUUGGAAACUGGAGGACUUGAGUACAGAAGAGGAGAGUGGAAUUCCACGUGUAGCGGUGAAAUGCGUAGAGAUCCGGAAGAACACCGGUGGCGAAGGCGGCCUGCUGGGCAGUGGCUGACGCUGAUGCGCGACAGCGUGGGGAGCGAACGAGG
rnacentral:rRNA from 1 species